GAUCGCGUCGUCGUCGCCUGAGACACGGAGAGUUUGGUUUAAACUUUGUAAAUGAAAUUAAACAUAAAUCAGUGCAUGUUUUAAAUGAGAAGCUGUUAAAGUACUUGACAGAAACAUCAUACAAUAUUAGUACAGCUCCUUAUAAUGACCAUGCUUAGACAAACUGCACUGUCAGCCAGAGCGUAACAAAAUGUCUGCUUGUAACCGCCGCAGCCACAUCAGAAGCAAAAACAGCAGCAGUUAUAGUCAGUGAGAACGCUAGGACGAUAACGCCGGCAGCACAGCAACUAACUUACUCCCGACCCGAGAAAACUCGAGCUCAGAGCCCGGUAUCGGUAUCGCUAUCGUUUUCAUUCUGGUUCUCAGACAUGGUACAAAGAAACAAGAAGAUUCAAAAUCGAACUCUCGCAUUCGUUGGCGCUCAUUCGCAGACGUACGGCAGCAGCGGUAACAACGCGCAUCGCAAGCAGCAGCAGCAGCAACGACAACAACAGUAGCGCAGAACACGCAACUUGCGAAACGAAACGACGCCGUGUGUGUGUAAUAUGCUAAACUUUUAAGUCAAUUUAAAAACAAAGGAAAAGAAAAGCAACGCCGACAUCAGCUUAGCGUCAACGUCAUUGCAGAGGGCAGCAGAGCAAAGCUAAACUGUGACGUCAAAUAGUUGUAAGCAGCAACGUCGCUACAUACACACACACUCACAUACCGUAACAAUAAAAGGCAACCCCCAUUCUCCCACACACACACACACACACACGACAAAACUCCCAAAACAACUACAAUAAAAGUAGAAACAUUUUGAAAGAAGGGGAGAGAGAGAGCACAGAGAGCGUAACCGU